rnacentral:rRNA from 1 species
CCUACGGGCGGCUGCCGUGAGGAAUAUUGGUCAAUGGGCGCGAGCCUGAACCAGCCAAGUAGCGUGAAGGAUGACUGCCCUAUGGGUUGUAAACUUCUUUUAUAAAGGAAUAAAGUGAGGCACGUGUGCCUUUUUGUAUGUACUUUAUGAAUAAGGAUCGGCUAACUCCGUGCCAGCAGCCGCGGUAAUACGGAGGAUCCGAGCGUUAUCCGGAUUUCUUGGGUUUAAAGGGAGCGUAGAUGGGUUGUUAAGUCAGUUGUGAAAGUUUGCGGCUCAACCGUAAAAUUGCAAUUGAUACUGGCAGUCUUGAGUACAGUAGAGGUCGGCGGAAUUCGUGGUGUAGCGGUGAAAUGCUUAGAUAGCACGAAGAACUCCGAUUGCGAAGGCAGCUUACUAAACUGCCACUGACAUUGAUGCUCGAAAGUGUGGGUAUCAAACAGGAUUAGAUACCCUUGUAGUC